GGCCCGGUGGCUCAGCUGGUUAGAGCGCCGCCCUGUCACGGCGGAGGUCGUGGGUUCGAACCCCAUCCGGGUCGUCA
rnacentral:tRNA from 1 species